AUUGAACGCUGGCGGCAGGCCUAACACAUGCAAGUCGAGCGCGCGGCGGACGGGUGAGUGAUGUCUGGGAGACUGCCUGCUGGAGGGGGAUAACUACUGGGAAAGGUGGCUCAUACCGCAUACCCUCAUGUGUGCCCAGAUGGGCUUAGCUAGUAGGUGGGGUAAUGGCUCACCUAGGCGACGAUCCCUAGCUGGUCUGAGAGGAUGACCAGCCACACUGGAACUGAGACACGGUCCAGACUCCUACGGGAGGCAGCAGUGGGGAAUAUUGCACAAUGGGCGCAAGCCUGAUGCAGCCAUGCCGCGUGUAUGAAGAAGGCCUUCGGGUUGUAAAGUACUUUCAGCGGGGAGGCGUUACCCGCAGAAGAAGCACCGGCUAACUCCGUGCCAGCAGCCGCGGUAAUAC
rnacentral:rRNA from 1 species